rnacentral:rRNA from 1 species
GACGAACGCUGGCGGCGUGCCUAAUACAUGCAAGUUGAGCGCUGAAGGUUGGUACUUGUACCAACUGGAUGAGCAGCGAACGGGUGAGUAACGCGUGGGGAAUCUGCCUUUGAGCAGGGGACAACAUUUGGAAACGAAUGCUAAUACCGCAUAAAAACUUUAAACACAAGUUUUAAGUUUGAAAGAUGCAAUUGCAUCACUCAAAGAUGAUCCCGCGUUGUAUUAGCUAGUUGGUGAGGUAAAGGCUCACCAAGGCGAUGAUACAUAGCCGACCUGAGAGGGUGAUCGGCCACAUUGGGACUGAGACACGGCCCAAACUCCUACGGGAGGCAGCAGUAGGGAAUCGUCGGCAAUGGACGAAAGUCUGACCGAGCAACGCCGCGUGAGGGAAGAAGGUUUUCGGAUCGUAAAACUCUGUUGGUAGAGAAGAACGUUGGUGAGAGUGGAAAGCUCAUCAAGUGACGGUAACUACCCAGAAAGGGACGGCUAACUACGUG